CCUACGGGGGACAGCAGUCGAGAAUCAUUCACAAUGGGGGAAACCCUGAUGGUGCGACGCCGCGUGGGGGAAUGAAGGUCUUCGGAUUGUAAACCCCUGUCAUGUGGGAGCAAAUUAAAAAGAUAGUACCACAAGAGGAAGAGACGGCUAACUCUGUGCCAGCAGCCGCGGUAAUACAGAGGUCUCAAGCGUUGUUCGGAAUCACUGGGCGUAAAGCGUGCGAAGGCUGUUUCGUAAGUCGUGUGUGAAAGGCGAGGGCUCAACCCGCGGACGGCACAUGAUACUGCGAGACUAGAGUAAUGGAGGGGGAACCGGAAUUCUCGGUGUAGCAGUGAAAUGCGUAGAUAUCGAGAGGAACACUCGUGGCGAAGGCGGGUUCCUGGACAUUAACUGACGCUGAGGCACGAAGGCCAGGGGAGCGAAAGGGAUUAGAUACCCUUGUAGUC
rnacentral:rRNA from 1 species